AGGGUCAUGUUCCUGCUUUGUGAUGUCACCAGAAACCAUGUGGAAGCCCAUGAUCCAUGCUCUCACUGACUGGAAAGAUCAAGGAAGCUGCUUUUGCGGUGACAUCGAUGACUGAAGACACACAGUUGAGAAAGGGGGACAUAGAAGGCUUCUGUGACAACCCCUAUCCCAUCCUCAUCCAAGUAACAGCCUAAACAGGAAGCCAUCGAAGAGAACUCUUUAAACAUAUGAUAAAGAUGCUGAAAUGUAGCUCUCCACAAUUGAUGACUUCUGGCAGGAGCCUACUGUCUCGCUGAUUUGACUGCUCUUCGGUUUUGCUGAUCUUAAGACGGGCUAGAUGCAUCCCCUGAUGCUGACUUCAAGAAAGGAAAGCUGGGCUGCCUCUGACUCAAAGAGAGAUGUUCUCAUCUUCCUGCUGACUGUGAGAAGUCAAGCAGUUACUCCAAGUUCAUUAGAUGUCCCUAAUUGCCGAGAACACAUUCAGGAAAUAAAGGAAGGGAGAAGUCCAUGAUGAGACUGGAACUCUGAAUGAGAGAAUUCCUGAGCAGGUCCUGGGUAGACUUCAACCCUGCAGGAACAGCAGUGAAGGCUCAUGGGCCUGAAGUAGUCAAACUCAUUAACACAGCUUUAAAGGAAGACGUUCAAAGGCA